rnacentral:piRNA from 1 species
GAGCAAUGCGAUUGUGGGCAGUG